GAGAAACAAAAAGUAAAAAAAAAACACAAGUAAAGUAACGUUUUGUUAUCCUUCUCUCUCUCUCUCUCUCUCUCUCCACAUUAUAAACCUCUCUCCCCCACUAUCCUCACUCACUCAUCACAAAGCCAUCACCAUCACAAUCACAAUCAUUUAGCAUCACCACCGCCAUGGAGAUCCAAAAGCAACUAUUCAAGUUCAGGUACCACAUCGCUGGGGCACUUCUCCUUUGCCUCGCUAUCUUCUCUUUUCUCUACCUCGCACCAAGGUUCCUCAACGUCUUGGCCUUCUUCUGGCCGCUCUUUCUCUCCACCGCGCUCUUCCUCGCGCUCGUUCUCUUCUUCGGCAAGACGCAGCCUCCGCCGCCCUCCGACGUGGACCUUCCCAAGCCCGCCGAGGACCUCCUCCACUUCGUCGCCGGCCACCACCCCGAUCCGCCGCUCGACGCCGCGCACAAGUCCGAUUAGAGAAACUCUCUGUGUGAUUAAUUGUGAAGAGAAGAUGGUGAUAGCAUAGCAUAGGCCAGAGUAGAUCGCAGAUAACAUAUAACUGGGGCUGCUCAACUACUAUAGAUAAAGGGAUUAAAAGAUUAAAUUAGUAUAUCACAGCCAGCACAGUUGUGUUUUGGACCUUUUAUCUUUCUUUGUAAUGGCUAUAAAUGCUGCUUAACCAUUAAUAAUAAUAGUACAUAUUUUCUCUCCAAGUCUCCUAUGUGUUCGGUUUUUAUAACUUAAAAUAUAUUGGUAGGUUUGAAUUUACUCAAUUGGGUUAUACCAUCAUCAAUUUCAUAGCCCUUCACUUGUAAUGGCUAUAAAUGCUGCUUAGCCAUGAACAAUCUCUUACAUCUUUUUUCCUCUAUAUUCUUUGUAUGAAAAGAAAGCAAAUUGAGUGAAAAAAAAAAUACGAGUAACAUUUAUUCUUUUUGUUUGAUUGGAGAGAAAAUAAAAAGACAAGGAGAAAAAAUUUGAUUUCUAAAAACUUUACUUUUACUUUUAUUUCAAUUCAAAUUUCAAAAUUUUCUUGUCUCACUUUUUCGCCGGUGUUCCAAACAGGCAAGAAGGGUAGUUCUAAGUAGGUCUGAAUUUACUCACUUUAGCUAUACGACCCUCAUUUUUGUAGGGCAAGAAAGAAAAUGGUUCAUUGUGUUUGUCUACAUAGCAACUUGAACUAGCUAAUAAAGCUUUCUUGUCUUUAUAUCUAUCAACUAGCUAACAAAUUUUGUUUCCUCCUGUUAGUUCUUGGCUGAAAGGGGUUCAACAAAAAAAUUAUGUUCAAAGCUCUUCAUAUUGAAACCAAUAUCCUUUGACAUCGAGUGUGUAUCUAUUAUGUUUCUUGCUCAUUUAACUUAUCAGAAUCAGUAAUGUAACUUGUGAGAGGACACUUACUAGGAUUCUAGGAACAAGCACCAAAAUCGAUAGCACUAUUAUUAUUAUUAUCCUCAAAACUGUACCUUCAGCAAUGCCUGCUCGAAUUUUGUUUUGACCAAGAGCAACUCGUGCCUUUAGGAACUGAUUUUAGUUGAGGUUGGAAUAGAAUGUACAUGAUUUGAAAACUGAUCUUUGUGCUGUCAUCUUUUUUUCCACGCAUUCAUGCGGUUAACAUAUAUAUUGUAACUGUUGGAUGAAGAUGACGUUACUCAAAUCUUGCAUGCCUGUUUAAAGUCUAAUUUACUUAGAUAAAUACGAGACGUUUGAUUUUCAUCCUGUUCCAAGUUGCUGGAUGCAUGAAAAAACUAACUGUAGGAAUAUGGAUCCAUGCUUUUAAGGACUAGUUUGGUAACUGCUUAGUUUCAAUUAUAUAGUCUCCUUAAAAAUAUGAAUGAAGAAUUUGAGAACGGCCUUUACAUGAAAAAGUAGAAGUUAAUAAAUCAGACAUUUUCAAGUCAAGGGAAAUUGUGACUGGGUCGCCAUGGUAGGUGUGGCUUGCUCUUGGUUCUAAUACUUUCUUUCAGUUUUAUAGGUAGAACAAGUAAAAUAGGAAGUUAAGCGAUCAUGGAUGCAUGCAAUCCAAGCUGAAGUGAUGGCAAUGGGAAAGUGAUUAAUCAAGUCAUAUAAGUCUAACAUGUUGGACUUUUUCCUCUUACACUUCUUGAAUGCUUCAAACUGCAUGGAGCCACUACUAGAGAAACCACAUCUGUGUUUGCAACCUGAUCAAUAAAUGCCUACCAAAUUUGACUUUCCAAUUCAUCAGAACUCUGGUGUGCAUUUCAUCAUGAAGUAAAAUAUGCAAACUAGUCUAUAACAACUUGAUGUAUAUGAUGCGUUGGUAAAUUAACAUGAGUGAGUAAAUGUUUAGUCAGAAACUGACUGUUUACCAAUCUGAUCAAUGUAAAGCUCUUCAAACUCCUCAUGCCAAGUGAAAUGUGUUCUUGACUAGUCUUCCCCCAUCUCUUUAGCCUUAUAAAUAAAUAAUUCAGCAACCCUAUGAGCAAUAAUCAAUGAAAGAAACUUACCAAAAACGAUAAUGAAAAGUGUGAACUGCCAACAAAAGAAUGUUCAGCUAACUCCAGAGUUCCAUCCUCAUCAAGAUCUUCUGCCUCCAUGUUUAAAUUGGUUUUACUACGUGUAAAAGCUCAUUUGACAAGUGCCUUCUGUCUGCUUUCAGAAUUUGCGCUCAGCAAUGCAGAGUAAAAGCUGAGCCAAACAAAUAGUAUCUGCCAACACACCACAAAUGUUCUCCCUGCUUGAGUUGAGAAACUUCUAUCCAAAUUCUCAACUGUAGAAGGCAUAAAUAAUAUCCAAAUUCUAAACCGUUACCAAGAAAAUUGUCCCUGUAACAAUGUAACAAUGAGAAUGGAAAGAGGGGGAAAA